AACGAACGCUGGCGGCAGGCUUAACACAUGCAAGUCGAGCGCCCCGCAAGGGGAGCGGCAGACGGGCGAGUAACGCGUGGGAACGUACCUUUUGGUUCGGAACAACUCCGGGAAACUGGAGCUAAUACCGGAUAAGCCCUAACGGGGAAAGAUUUAUCGCCGAAAGAUCGGCCCGCGUCUGAUUAGCUAGUUGGUGAGGUAACGGCUCACCAAGGCGACGAUCAGUAGCUGGUCUGAGAGGAUGAUCAGCCACACUGGGACUGAGACACGGCCCAGACUCCUACGGGAGGCAGCAGUGGGGAAUAUUGGACAAUGGGCGCAAGCCUGAUCCAGCCAUGCCGCGUGAGUGAUGAAGGCCUUAGGGUUGUAAAACUCUUUUGUCCGGGAAGAUAAUGACUGUACCGGAAGAAUAAGCCCCGGCUAACUUCGUG
rnacentral:rRNA from 1 species